rnacentral:rRNA from 1 species
UACGUAGGGUGCGAGCGUUGUCCGGAAUUACUGGGCGUAAAGAGCUCGUAGGUGGUUUGUCGCGUUGUCCGUGAAAACUCACAGCUUAACUGUGGGCGUGCGGGCGAUACGGGCAGACUGGAGUACUGCAGGGGAGACUGGAAUUCCUGGUGUAGCGGUGGAAUGCGCAGAGUAUCAGGAGGAACACCGGUGGCGAGGCGGGUCUCUGGCAGUAACUGACGCUGAGGAGCGAAAGCGUGGGGAGCGAACAGG